GAUGAACGCUGGCGGCGUGCCUAAUACAUGCAAGUCGAGCGAACGGACGAGAAGCUUGCUUCUCUGAUGUUAUCGGCGGACGGGUGAGUAACACGUGGAUAACCUACCUAUAAGACUGGGAUAACUUCGGGAAACCGGAGCUAAUACCGGAUGAUAUUUUGAACCGCAUGGUUCAAAAGUGAAAGACGGUCUUUCUGUCACUUAUAGAUGGAUCCGCGCUGCAUUAGCUAGUUGGUAAGGUAACGGCUUACCAAGGCAACGAUGCAUAGCCGACCUGAGAGGGUGAUCGGACACACUGGAACUGAGACACGGUCCAGACUCCUACGGGAGGCAGCAGUAGGGAAUCUUCCGCAAUGGGCGAAAGCCUGACGGAGCGACGCCGCGUGAGUGAUGAAGGUCUUAGGAUCGUAAAACUCUGUUAUUAGGGAAGAACAUAUGUGUAAGUAACUGUGAACAUCUUGACGGUACCUAAUCAGAAAGCCACGGCUAACUACGUG
rnacentral:rRNA from 1 species